rnacentral:rRNA from 1 species
GAUCCUGGCUCAGGAUGAACGCUAGCUACAGGCUUAACACAUGCAAGUCGAGGGGCAGCAUGCUGAUAGCUUGCUAUCAGUGAUGGCGACCGGCGCACGGGUGAGUAACGCGUAUCCAACCUGCCUGUCACUCAGGAAUAGCCCGGUGAAAACCGGAUUAAGUCCUGAUGAUAUCAUUAGAGGGCAUCUGACGAUGAUUAAAGGUUACGGUGACGGAUGGGGAUGCGUCUGAUUAGCUAGUUGGUGAGGUAACGGCCCACCAAGGCGACGAUCAGUAGCCGGACUGAGAGGUUGAACGGCCACAUUGGGACUGAGACACGGCCCAGACUCCUACGGGAGGCAGCAGUGGGGAAUAUUGCACAAUGGGGGAAACCCUGAUGCAGCGAUGCCGCGUGGAGGAAGAAGGUUUUCGGAUUGUAAACUCCUGUCUUAAAGGACGAUAAUGACGGUACUUUAGGAGGAAGCUCCGGCUAACUACGUG